AGAGACAGAGAGUAGGGAGGGAGCGGCACUGGCCUUUCUUAUCUGAAGUGAAGGUUUUCCUUAUAACUAUAAGAUUAAGCCCCGAGGGAAGAUUCCUAAUCAACAGAUCCAUUGGGAAAUCAGCAUCAAUUAGGGGUUCUUGAAAGAGUCUUAGUAACCGAUAAAGCAGCUGAAGAAAGAGCAUCUAUGGAAGUCAGAAUAGCAGCAGAAGGAGGAGCAUGGGAACUGGUGAAAUCAAGCCCCUCGUCAGUAAGCAGCUCCGGUGGGUGCGGAUUCCCCUAUGGGCGGCUCCUACCAAGACUAUGGAAAAACCUAG
rnacentral:misc_RNA from 1 species